CAUAGAAAGGCACCGUGGGGAGGAUUUUGAAAAUAUAUUCAGUCCAGCUCCCUGUGGUGCAGUUAAAGGAACUAAGGCUCAGAGAAAGGAUGUGGCUCCCCCAGUCACCUUGAAUUCAGAUCCAAAACUUUCCCCUCCGUCCAGUCCCCCAGGCCUUUGGGACCCCCAGCUGGACGCCGGCCCCACUGUGGUCAGUGGUCAGUGGUCAGGAUAGUGUAGGGCUUCCCUACCUGCCCCUACGAAGCAGCACUUCAUCAACACACGCGGUGCCAGGCCUGGCCAGCCGAGCAGGUCCUGAGCCCAGAAACAAAGAUGUGGGGUGGGGGGGCUCGGCUGCCUCUCGGUGCCCUGGCUGCGCUCAGAAUCAACCCUGGAGUGUCACACUGCUCACUGUGGGAAGACGCUGGACAAGAAGAUGCUCUGCGUCUGGACAGACGGGUCAUCUCCACCCCAGCCUUCCUAGCACCCUGCGAGUGUUUCCAGGCCUCCAUUCAGGCACUGGGAUCCUCACUGAGCACUUCCUGUGUGCAGCCACUCUUCUGAGGACACGGAAACUACUCAUGGAACUUACAGUUCUAGCAGAGGAGACCGACAAGUGACUUUCAUCUCAGUAAAUAUAUUUCUGCCACCUGGCUCACAAGCUCAAGGUUCUGAGUUUGAUCCCCAGUUCCAAAAAAGAACCCAAAACAAAACUGAUUCAGUAAACAUAUAGUUUCAGGCUAUGUUAAGAGAUAUAAAAAAUAAAGCACAGAAGUCUACCUUGGCAUAGGGGAUCCAUUCUGAGACCCCAGCACUGAGAUGCUGAGAGGGAGGAGCUGAUAACCAUGGAUAUGCUGGACAGCGGCACGAUCCGGACCAGGACAGGACAGACCAUGACAGAGUGUGAUUUCAUCACGCUCCUCAGAAAGGCUCGCCAUUUAAAGCAAUGUCACCCAAUCACCACAGGACAGGUGUUGCUACGUCAGGUACUCGGGAUAAGACCAGGUUCCCUCUGUGGAUCUUUAUGUUGGUGGAUGCUGACCACAGAAUGCUUCGCAUUGAGCCUAGGUGCUGUGGUGUGGACGGCUGUGGAGCCCCGGCAGGCCCAGCGGAGGAGACACCUGGGCUGACCUGGGCAGCUGAGCAGGAGAUGACACGAGAAGAGAGCUGGGUGUCCCAGGAAGAGGAGGAGGCUUGUCCAGCACAAAGGGAGGGUGUCAUUCCAGGGACGGGAGUGAGUCUUUCAAGACCCGAGAAAGAGAAUGAGUCUUCUUUAUUUCUUCUCUCUUCGCCAAAGCUUUCUUUUGGUUCUGCUGUUUCAAGCGUGUUAUCAUGGGUCCAUGAGGUCUUUGUAGAUGGCCACUUUGACGUCCUUGCCAGAGAGUUCCAUCUGUCGCCUCGGUAUUGGCAUCUACUAAUUGUCUCUCCAAGUUUCAGUCGAGACUUCCUUGGUUCUUGAUUUACAUCUGGACAUUUGGGGUAUUACAUUAUGAGGCCCUUUUGAAAAUCUUCUGUUUCAGCAGGCACCAAAGGUGCAAGUUCUCCCCUCAGCCACUGGCAUCUGUGGGGCAUGGAGGGUAGGAGGAAGUGGGUGCCUCCUUAGUCCUGGGCCACGGCAGAAGUUCUGGCUCCUAGUCAUCUGGACAGUAGCACCCUGGUGCCACGUCAUUUCUCCAGUCUGAUCUCCCUAGCCUUCCGCCUGUCAGUCUUCUUACCUUUGAUGUCUGCAUAGUGCCCCGGGAUUUAGAUGUACUCAGAGAGAGGAAUACGGAGAAGUAUGUCUGCUCCAUCUUGUCUAGAACUGGAAGUUCAAACCAAAACUAUGAGGAAGGACAGGAAAUCUUGACCCAUGAGACUAGCAAAUCAGACAGCUAUUUCCAGAACCCACUUUCACCAUUAAAAAUGAUUGAGGACUCCAGAAAGCUUUUGAUGUUGAGGACUGUAUCUAUCAAUAAUUACUGCAUCGGACAUUAAAACAGCUGAGAGUAUAGCUCAGUGGUAGAGCAUGCGCUUAAAUUAACAUCUGUAAGGCCCUGGGUUCAACCCCAGCACCACCUCCUCCCACCAAAAAAAAAAAAAAAAAAAAAGGAAAGAAAGGGAAGUGAAAAAUGAGAGAAAGAAAUUAAAAUCCAACACUUAUAAUUAUCCCAUUACAUAAUAUAUAACGUUUUAAAUGAAAAACAAUUACAUUUUGCACAAGAAAAACAAUCAGGGAGAAGGGCGACUUUGUCUUAUACUUCAGCCAGUCUCCCUAGUAUCUGGCUUUAAG
rnacentral:lncRNA from 1 species